rnacentral:rRNA from 1 species
UACGGAGGGUGCUAGCGUUGUUCGGAAUUACUGGGCGUAAAGGGCGCGUAGGCGGCCGUUUGCGUCGGAUGUGAAAGCCCGGGGCUCAACCUCGGAACGGCAUUCGAUACGGGACGGCUGGAGACCGGGAGAGGAGAGUGGAAUAGCCAGUGUAGAGGUGAAAUUCGUAGAUAUCAAGCGGAACACCGGUGGCGAAGGCGGCCUUCUGGACAGUGACUGACGCUGAGACGCGAAAGCGUGGGGAGCAAACAGG